UACGGAGGGUGCGAGCGUUGUCCGGAAUCACUGGGCGUAAAGGGCGCGUAGGCGGCGCGAGCAGUCGGCGGUGAAAGCCCGGAGCUCAACUCCGGGUCGGCCGUCGAUACUCUCGUGCUUGAGCACUGUAGAGGCAGGUGGAAUUCCGGGUGUAGCGGUGGAAUGCGUAGAGAUCCGGAAGAACACCGGUGGCAAAGGCGGCCUGCUGGGCAGUAGCCGACGCUGAUGCGCGACAGCGUGGGGAGCAAACAGG
rnacentral:rRNA from 1 species